GGAAGUAGAAGCAGGAGCAGCUACCUGCAGAAGAGCACCGCGGACGGCGAGAGGCACCCACUGACGAGUCGCUCUCCUCGCUGCUCUCCUUCACGCGGUGACAAAGGACCCCACCAAAAGCAGCUUCAGGAUGGAAGGGUUCGCUGUGGCUCUCAGUCUGAGGAAACGCCGUCCACUGUGGUAGGGAAGGCACUGGGGGCGUGAAUAAGCUGGUCACAUGGCGUCUGCACUCAGGAAGCUGAGAGAGCACGCAAGCCAGGAAUGCCCAGACUGCUCCAAGGAGGGGUAAUUUGCUAACUCCAGCCUGUUCCAAGAUCAACAGAAAGCUUGUACUGCCAGGCUCCUCCUACAGCCUGUGAAAAAUGAUGUGUAUUUUCUCUUUUACACUAUGCAUGCUGGUGCACGGGUGUGCUUAAAUCACGUGUCUAUGAAUGGGUGCAUGUGGUGCAUGUGUGCGAGAUGGGCGGGGGGAGGCACUGAACUGCAUAUCCUCCCCGUGCUGAAACAGCACUGCUGAGAACUGGACACAGUGAAGAGAGCUGGGGGAACCACGCACUGGACCACAUAUCCUCCCCGUGGAACAGCGCUGCUGAGACCUGGACAAAGAAAUGCUUUCUGGUUGAAUUCCCACCCACACUUCCUUCCAGCUUGUCUAUCCCUAAACCCUACGAGGCAGAAAAGCCCUGGGUCUCCCAUAGCUCUUUUGUGCCCAAGAAAUAAAUCCAUACUGGAGAAGGUUGCAGGAGGAGAGGUUCUCAGUAUGGUGACGAAGACCGA